CAGACAACAGAGACACCAAUGGAGACGCAUAUCAGAGCAACUACUCAACUAAUAGUCACUGAAGUUAGAAUCAUACAGUAGAUAUUACCAUUAGGAGUCAGUUAGAAAAGUAAUCAUACAGUAGAUAUUACCAUUAGGAGUCCGUUAGAAAAGUAAUCAUACAGUAGAUAUUACCAUUAGGAGUCAGUUAGAAAGGUAAUCAUUAGUAAGUUAAUACUAUAAGUAAAAGUUAAAAUCAUAUAUACUACAAUAAAACGUCAGACAGACUGAAUUAGUUGAUUAAUUGAUUGAUUGGGGUAAUUAUUGAUAUUCGGUACGGUUAGAUAAGAUGACCGACUACGUCAACAAACAGGUGAUUGAAUUAAAUCAUGUUAAUGAAGAAAACCAGAACAGAGCAACGAGGAGCGUGAAGACUGAGAUCCGUCGCUCAGUUACUGGCACAAACUGCAGCUUGAGAAUGAUGGUGACACCCCAGCAAAUCGGAAGGAGGACUGUGUUGAGCUGAACACAGAAAUAUGGCGUCCUGGAAACGCACGGAAUGACCUGUCAUGUUCAGACAAUCAUUACUGAGAAAGUGGUUUAACAACACCAUGACAACAGAGGAGGCUGGUGGGAGGACUGAAAGGAAUUUUAUAAUAUCUGUACAUUACAAUUCUACCGGUGACUGCAAAAGUACAAUGAUUAAUGUUUUGCUUGAGCUUGAGAUUAAGAAUCAGUGAUAGACCUUGCAAGUGCAUGAAAAGGUCACCUGUACAAAGUCAUAUGUUUGUGUGUUGAAACUAUACUUUGGGUAACAGAUAGAUAAAGGGAACCAAAUGUUCCUGUUGUUGCUAUGUUCCAGUCUUACUUUUGCUUGCAAAUGACAGCAAAAAUGGGAAGAGUGAUUGGGAAGCUAACUGCCAAUAACACAAUAAGCUGAACUCUGCCUAGCAGAGACAUCUUUGUAUUACCAACUAUUAAUUAUGAGCUUAUAUGGUAUUAAAGUUAAGGGUGGGGUGAUCCUCAGUAGGGGAUAAAAAGGGAAAACACCAUAUUUUGUGAUGAGUGUGUUACAUGCAAAUUACUGUAAGUGUAUACUCUGGGUUGCAAUCCUUAUUAAACAAACUAACCUCUGAUCAA